rnacentral:rRNA from 1 species
AAUAGAUACCCCGGUAGUCCUGGCCGUAAACGAUGUCGACUAGAUCGCAGGUCCUCUGACGGACUUGCGGUCGAAGCAAAAGUGCUAAGUCGACCGCCUGGGAAGUACGGUCGCAAGGCUAAAACUCAAAGGAAUUGACGGGGGCUCACACAAGCGGUGGAGCAUGUGGUUCAAUUCGAAGCAACGCGCAGAACCUUACCUGGGCUUGACAUGCCUGGAUUAUCCCUGUGAAAGCAGGGUAGGCCCUUCGGGGUACAACAGGCACAGGUGCUGCAUGGCUGUCGUCAGCUCGUGUCGUGAGAUGUCGGGUUAAGUCCCUUAACGAGCGAAACCUUUGCCCUUAGUUACCAGCGGGUAAUGCCGGGGACUCUAAGGGGACUGCCGGUGUCAAACCGGAGGAAGGUGGAGAUGACGUCAAGUCCUCAUGGCCUUUAUGCCCAGGGCCACACACGUGCUACAAUGGGGUGCACAAAGCGAACCAAGAGCGCAAGCUGGAGGAAAUCGCACAAAUCACCCCCCAGUUCAGA